rnacentral:misc_RNA from 1 species
GCAGGCGCACGCCAAAAAAGAGAAUAAUAAUAACUAAAUAAACUGGCCUACUUCGGCACCUUCAUCAACGGAGAAAGCGGAUCUGCCAAGCGGGUUCCGCCUGUUUGUUCGGUGCUGUCCUUUUCUCGUCCUACAAACGGUGCUUUAAUCAUGUCGUCGGCGCCGUCCACGCUCUCGGCGGAUCAGCAGCGCCUGUUCGACCGGAUGAAUCGCGAGUACUCAAAUCGAGAGUACAGCAAGGCGCUGCGCACGUCGGAAUGCAUUCUAAGGGUCGUCCCAGAUCACGUGGACACGUUUGCCGGCCGCGGGCUUGUUCUGUACAACAUGGAGAGGCAGGAAGAGGGUUACGAAUCCAUUAAGCAGGCUAUCCUCCUCAACCCCAAGUCGAUGGUGGCCUGGCACGCGUUAGGCAUGUGCCAGCGGCUUGACAAGAAGUUUGGCGAGGCAGUGAAGGCAUUCAAGCGUGCGCUGACAUUUGAUCCGGCGAACACGGAGGUGCUGCGCGAUUUGGCGUCAGCGUGCAUUCAAGUGCGUGACUGGCCUCUGUUCCUGGAGGCGCGUGAGAAGAUGGUCACGGCAAAGGCGAGUGUGCGCGCAAACUGGGUGGCGCUCUCGUGCGGUCACCGCAUACUAGGCCACAGCAGGAUUGCCGCAGCUGUCAUGGAUACCAUGACUUCCAUCAUGGACGCUGGCGACAAUCCCGUCGAAGUGAGCGAGGCACAAUUGUAUCGCGUCGAGCUGGAGCUGGAGAGCGGGGCACCGCAGCGUGCGUUGGAGCUGCUCAAGAAGCACGACAGCGAGAUCAUCGACGUGGAGACGAAGCUGCUGCUGCGUGCCAAGGCGCACGCGCAGCUCGGUCAACGCAUGGAAGCGGAGAAACGCUACAUAGAGGUGAUCUCGAUGGGUGUGUCGGAGGCGGACAGCAUCGCAGCCCUGGCUCACCUGCGGAAGAUCCCGCUUGACCGCUACCUUCGCCCGGCAGCGGGGUACACGGAGAAGUACAUGGAGAUCAUCGACCGUGUCCUGAAGGCAUGCCCAAAGUGCGACUACGCAAAACGCCACGCGCUGGACUGCGUGCCAAUCGCGGAGUUCAGUGAGCGUCUCGCCGCCUUCGCCACACCCUACAUCCAGCGCAUGAUUCCGUCCUUGUUCAGCGUGCUCAAGUCAUUGUACGUGGAUGCCGAGCGAGCGGCAAUCAUAGGUGACGUCUUCGCGAUGAUGGAGCGGGAGCUUGAGGCCAAGGACUUCUCUCGUUUUGGCGGGGAAGCGAACCCGUGCUACAUUCUUUGGGUGUGCACGUUUCUCGCGUCGCACUACCGCCGCACCGGCGAAUACGCGCUGGCGCAUGCCUACAUUGAAAAGGCCAUCAACCACACACCAACACUAGAGCUGCUUUACCUGGAAAAGGCGAAGAUAUUUGCGCGCGAGGGCAAGACGGCCGAGGCAGCCGAGCAGGCUGAUUUGGCGCGGAGGUUGGAUUUGCAGGACAAGUACCUGAAUAGCAAGGCGGCCAAAUACUACUUCCGCGACAAUCAGGUGGAGAGGGGGGAGGCGACGAUGCAGCUCUUCUACAAACCGUCGGUGGUGGCGGGUGACACCUACCUCACAGCACUCGAAUCGCAGUGCUAUUGGUAUGAGCGCGAGGUGGGAGAAGCCUUCUACCGCAGAGGCGACUACAUCUCCGCGUUGCAGAACCUUCUCAUGUUCGAGCGCCACCAUGAGCAGAACCACUGCGAGCUCAGCGACUUUCACAACUACGUAUUUCGGCGCAAUACCAUGCGCCCGUGGUUCGACGUGUUGGACUGCGACGACAACAUGGGUCGGAACAAAUUCUUCUUGAAGUUUUGCCCUGCCAUUGUGCGCACUUACAUGCGCAUUCAUGAAAAAGGCGAGGAAGCUGUGCGGGCUGCGCACGUGCCGAGGCCAGAACUGAAAUUUGACGCGAUCGCCGCAGACGAAGUGAAGCGGAUGAAGCAGCAGCAGAAGGACUACUACAUCAGCGACGUGGACCUGUCAGAGCCUCUGGUCAAGGCGAGCCGCUACAUGGGAUACCUCUUGGCCCACCGGAACAACCAAGCCAGUACGCAUACGCUCGCUAUCGAGCUGUACACGGCGGCUGCCAAGCCUCUCCUUGUCGCUCGUUCGCUUCUCUCUCUUCACCGACAGCGGUACAACAAGACUAAGGAACUUGCUGUGGCCUUCAAGACUGGGCUGUACACCACGACAACCAUGGACUCUCGCGUGCAGGCUGUUGUUGAUGAGAUCCUUGCCACCUUGCUGGAGUAGUGGAUAACGGAAGACUCCCACCCCCCCCUCGAACCAAAAAAUAAUGGGAGGCACGCCUUCAUGCAUGGCGGUGCGGGUGGUUUCCUUUUCCGUUGUGAUUCAUGGCGUGCGGGUGUGCUGCUGUGGAGAGAAGUGGGGCCAUGAGGUGAAUGCAGGAAGGCAGAUUUCGUCAGGCGAAUGCCCUUGUCUUUGUCCGCACGGGCGCGCAUGCGUACACAGGCUUGUGUGUGCGCGCGUGCGCGUGCGCGUGUGCGUGCGUCUUUUGGGUACACCGUCAGUUCUGUUAACCUUGUAAUGCGGCGAAGCCUCCGUUGUCUUUACAGUGCGGUGUGUUUCUUAUCGCUCUAGUUCUUUUAAGGAGCCUCCCCGUCCACCUCCUCCUCCUCCACAGCCUCCUUUCAAUACACAUCCAUGCACCCCCGUGUACUCGAUCACACUGUCUGGGGAAAAAGAAAACAGAAGUUCUCUCCGUCCCUUGGACGUAGUGCAGAGAUUAUCACGAGCAUAGU